UACGGAGGGGGCUAGCGUUGUUCGGAAUUACUGGGCGUAAAGCGCACGUAGGCGGCUUUGUAAGUUAGAGGUGAAAGCCCAGGGCUCAACCCUGGAAUUGCCUUUAAGACUGCAUCGCUUGAACAUCGGAGAGGUAAGUGGAAUUCCCAGUGUAGAGGUGAAAUUCGUAGAUAUUGGGAAGAACACCGGUGGCGAAGGCGGCUAUCUGGACCGACAUUGACGCUGAGGCGCGAAAGCGUGGGGAGCAAACAGG
rnacentral:rRNA from 1 species